AGGAGAGAGGAUCUACCAUUGACAAAUAAAAACAUUCUCCAUUCCGUUAGUUAUGAAUAAAUCCAUCCCAUUAAUCCUUCCCCCGGAAUAUUCUAGUCAGUGUGUGGGGGCUGAGGUUAUGAUAUAUAUCAAACAACAUGCCUCCCUACAUCAAAAAGUACUAGUUACAUUCUGUAUCUUAAAGCUGUGAGGUUUAGGAUUAACUUCCAUAAUUUCAGAGGAAUAGAUGUUUUGAAUAUUAUUGCCAUAUAUAUUUCCUGAAAACAACAUUUCCAUGAGUUGAAAAUGGGCAGGGUACUGUCCUCUAAAUGCUCCCAUUCUGUAGCUGUGUUUACAGCUGCCACUAGCACAUGAUUUAUAGAAGAGGCAUAUCAGCUGGACCCAAGGAGAUGUACUCAUGGACUUAAGAUGAUUAGAUUAUAAAUGCCAUCCCACACAAUCUUUAAUAAACAAAACCCAGGUGAGCUAUAUCAUUCUUUUGCUGCAUCAAAAGAUGGGAAACCAAACAGUUGUCCUCUUGUGGUUUUUCCCAGCAAUACAAUUUAUAAAGUUCCUAUAAUCAGGUGCCCUGUGACCCAGCAGGAUCCUUGGUACCAUGACCUAAAUUGGUUGUAUUUAUUAUCAUGGUAUGGAAUUUGACUGUGAAAGUUGAUUAGAGACCUUGAGGGAAAGCCUCCCUGGAGAUCCAGAACAUCAGAUUUGCUAUGCUGGCUUAGAACUGUGUCCUAUCCUACUACAGAUGUGUCUGUCAGCCAUGAAGAGAUGUUUUAGGUGUCUCUUCCAGAAGUUGAUUUCCGCUAAUAACCCACAGUGGAUCUAUGAAUACCAGAGUUGUACGUGAUUUUCCAAGUGAAUAGGCGCCAUUGUUUUGGUUUUAAAUACCCUUUCCAGUAAUGACUGGUAUUUUUUAAAAACCUACCCUAGCAUGUUGAUCAGGCUAAAUUAAGUUCCUCUCUCAAGCCUUAUUGAUGGCUCAGUGCCCAUUAUAUUUUAACUACAGGUAACAGCAGUUUGUCCUAAAUGCAUUAGUUUGCACUUGUCCAGGUUGUAGCUCUUUUAUGCCUCUGCUUUUUCCCACAUGGUCUUAUGAGAACAUAUUGCAUAUAUUCCCUUCAGCUGAGCAUUUCAAUACCCAGACAAGUGUUUGUCAUUUUAGGCCUCAUCACAUACUUGAAAUUCCAAGUCCUUUUUAAAAGAAAUGUUAAGUAGCUGGUGUUGCUACUAGAUCCCUGGAUUAUUCCACUUGUCCAUCCAUAAAAGUUCCUGUUUAUUCUCUACCUUCUGUUUCUAUUUCUAAGCCAAUGCUUUAAGACAUAACAUCUGCUCCAGCCUGUUCACUAUCCAUGUGGUUUUAAACUCUUAACUUUACUUCUUAGCUUCAUCCCUGUAAGUAAGUGCUCUCUACCUCACAGGGGUCUUAUGAGGGGGAAAAAAUAAGAUGUUUAAGGGUUGUUUUAAGAGAGAGAUCCUUCUUUUAAAGUGAUUUUAUCAAAGCCCCUUGGGUUAGAAAUGAAAAACUCUAUAGCUAUUUUUUUCCUAUUCUCGUUUUGCUAUUUUUAUUUCUGAAAAGUGAUCUGUCUGAAAAGAGCCUUAUAUCUGGUUUUAACUUCUCCUCAUUGACCCUUUUCACAGUGAAAUCUCUACUUUAUCCAUGCUCUGAACUUUUUAUUUAUGGAGCCCAAACUAAUUUUCCCACAACAAAUCUCACAUACUUUUACUCCUAUCAUUAAACAAAUUAAUGUCCUCCACAAAGAAACAUCUGGCUCUUCCUACAAGAAGUCAGAAGCUAAUGAGGUCUCACUCUGGCCCUGGCAAGAUCUCACAGUGUGCCUUGGUUCUCCCUGUGUAAACUGAGGUAGUCCGGCUAUUCCCCAGCGCCCAGGUGUUGUGAGUCCUAAUAAAUGGUGAAAAGCAUUUUGCAAAUGUUCUGUACUAUAUAAAUGCAUAGUGCCUAAUAUGGAGAGUCUUCAAGCAAAAAUGUGCUCUAGCUCAAUUCAGAAUACUAAUUCACCCAUUGUUUUCAAAAGAAAUGUUUUACUAACCUGUUUUUUUUUCUUUUGUAAAAUUAGUUUCUAGUCAUUUGAACUGUUUUUAUUUUGUGUAUAGAAGUGAUCAAUAGUAUAUAUUCUUGCUUGUCAGAGAAUACCCAAGUUGUAUUGUUAAAUGUUAAAACAAUGGGGUUACAUAACAGUAUAGUUGGAUAGGGAGGAAGAUUCUAGCUCAAAAGUUGCAAAAUACAGAAAUACAAAGAUUAGCUUUGAAUUGGAGAUUGUACUAUAAAUAGUAGAUGUUAAUGUGGUGGUUUCUAGAUAUAUACUUUAUUUUUAAGUUACAAGAAAUUGUCUUUUAUUUUUGCAGUUUUGAACUAUAUGAUUCUUUACAUGUUUUAAAUAAAGUUUUUAUCAACU
rnacentral:lncRNA from 10 species